rnacentral:rRNA from 1 species
CAGUCGCCGCGGUAAUACGAAGGGUGCAAGCGUUAAUCGGAAUUACUGGGCGUAAAGCGUGCGUAGGCGGUGAGUUAAGUCCGCUGUGAAAUCCCCGGGCUCAACCUGGGAAUGGCAGUGGAUACUGGCUCGCUAGAGUGUGUCAGAGGAUGGUGGAAUUCCCGGUGUAGCGGUGAAAUGCGUAGAUAUAUGGAGGAACACCAGUGGCGAAGGCGGCUUUCUGGUCUGUGAUUGACGCUGAGGCUCGAAAGCGUGGGGAGCGAACAGGAUUAGAUACCCCCGUAGUCCCUGUCUCUUAUAC